rnacentral:pre_miRNA from 1 species
AUAAUACUCUCUCCUUCCGAAUUACUCGUCGCAGAAAUGGAUGUAUCUAGAUAUAUUUUAGUUCUAGAUACAUCCAUUCCCGAGACGAGUAAUUUGAAACAGAGGGAGUACUUG